CGACCUACGGGGGGCAGCAGUGGGGAAUAUUGCACAAUGGGGGAAACCCUGAUGCAGCGACGCCGCGUGAGUGAAGAAGUAUUUCGGUAUGUAAAGCUCUAUCAGCAGGGAAGAUAAUGACGGUACCUGACUAAGAAGCCCCGGCUAACUACGUGCCAGCAGCCGCGGUAAUACGUAGGGGGCAAGCGUUAUCCGGAUUUACUGGGUGUAAAGGGAGCGCAGGCGGCUUUGCAAGUCUGAUGUGAAAGGCCGGGGCUCAACCCCGGGACUGCAUUGGAAACUGUAAAGCUAGAGUGCCGGAGAGG
rnacentral:rRNA from 1 species